rnacentral:misc_RNA from 1 species
GAUGAGAACGUAGCGAAAUGCGAUAAGUAAUGUGAAUUGCAGAAUUCAGUGAAUCAUCGAAUCUUUGAACGCACAUUGCGCCCCUUGGUAUUCCGGGGGGCAUGCCUGUUCGAGCGUCAUUAUCACCCCUCAAGCUCAGCUUGGUGUUGGGGCCUGCCGUCAAGGCAGCCCUUAAAAUCAGUGGCGGCGCCAUCUGGCUCUAAGCGUAGUAAUACUUCUCGCUACAGGAUCCCGGUGGUGUCUUGCCAGAACCCCUCAUUUUUUAUGAUUGACCUCGGAUCAGGUAGGGAUACCCGCUGAACUUAAGCAUAUCAAUAAGCGGAGGA